CAGGAUGAACGCUAGCGGCAGGCUUAACACAUGCAAGUCGAGGGGCAUCGGGAGUAGCAAUACUUGCCGGCGACCGGCGCAAGGGUGCGUAACGCGUGAGCAACAUGCCCGUAUCAGGGGGAUAAUCCAUGGAAACGUGGUCUAAUACCCCAUAGUAAUUAUGUAAGGCAUCUUAUAUAAUUUAAAGCUUUGGUGGAUACGGAUUGGCUCGCGUGACAUUAGCUGGAUGGUAAGGUAACGGCUUACCAUGGCUACGAUGUCUAGGGGUUCUGAGAGGAAGGUCCCCCACACUGGAACUGAGACACGGUCCAGACUCCUACGGGAGGUAGCAGUGAGGAAUAUUGGACAAUGGAUGGAAAUCUGAUCCAGCCAUGCCGCGUGCAAGGAAGACGGCCCUAUGGGUUGUAAACUGCUUUUGUAUGGGAGCAAUAAGGGCUACGUGUAGUCCGAUGAGAGUACCAUACGAAUAAGCACCGGCUAACUCCGUGCCAGCAGCGGC
rnacentral:rRNA from 1 species